AUCUUUUUAGUAUAAUUAUUAUAUUUGACUUCCAAUCAAAAGACCUUGAAAAUUAAUCAAGAAAAGAUA
rnacentral:tRNA from 1 species